rnacentral:lncRNA from 1 species
AUGGCAAACAUUCUUGUCCUGGAGGAGUGGAUGUGUCACCUACUGAAUCUGCGUCUCGAACAUUUCAUCAAUCACCCAUUGAUUGUGCCUCCUCUGGAUCCCAGGCUCAGCUUUCGGCUAUAUAUUCUGAACAGCCAGUACCAAAGCAAGAGAAAGGAUAGGCAUGGAUGUCAGGCAAAGAGAAUAAUUAGGAAGACAAAUCUGGGAAGAACAAGGAGCAAGAAAAGGAGGAAUAGAAGACAUCAGGGCCAGCCACCCAGCUACACAGCAAGCCACAAAGUAAGAAAUAAAGAAAGGUACAUAGAAAUAGAAAACGAUAAAAGAUCAGAGGCAAAAGAUAGAUUGGAUAAUUUAACUUAAGAAAAGCAGGCUAGAAAUAAUCUAAGCUAAGACUGGGCAUUCAUAAGAAAUAAUAAGAUUCCAUGUGAUUAAUUUGGGAGCUGGGUGGUGGGCUCCAAAGAACCAAAAGAGUAAAAAAACAACUACGGGAAAGUAAAUAAUAAAACCCAGAAGCAGAAGUACUUCCAAUAGAAAGGAAUUCACUAUGCAUCCUGACUGGUCUGAGUACAAGGCAAAUAUGAAUAUUAUUAAAGAAAGGUAGAUUAAGAAAAAAUUGAGACUGCCAUGGAAGGACACUUUUUUUUUUCAAUGUCAUGUGAUAUAAGGGAAAUAGCAGCAGAGCUGCACCUUGACUGGGCAAAAGAUCCUCCUCCUCCUCCUCGUCCUCCUCGUCCUCCUCCUCCUCCUCCUCCUUCUUCUUCUUCUUUUUCUUCUUCCCCUUCCCCUUCUCCUUCUCCUUCUCCUUUUCCUUCUCUUCCUUCUUCUUCUUCC